AAUUAUAGGGAAGCUUUUGAAUUGGCGCGCCCUCCUGUUUUGAUACAUAUGUUUUGUAUCUAUUCUGUCUCACAAACACAGACCACUCACCACACCAAAGGCCCACUCACCACCGAUUGUCACUACCACACCAUCACUGGCCACCGUUCGUCUCCACCAUCGCACGUCGCCAGCACCGCAACGCCAAAAUCACCACCAACACUGCCGCAAAUCACAAGUUUGUCUCUGUCUCUCUCUGUUCGGUCCUCUCCUGGGUGUUACGAUCUAGUUCUCUCUCUCUCUAUGAAGCCAUCUCUCGGGUUCCCCCCUCACUCUCUCUCUCCCUUCCCCUAUUUCCCCAUUUCUCACACUUAAUCUAGGGUUUAUAUGAUUUCUUAGUUUAUUUUGAUUUCGGUUAAGGGCUCAUUGGUUGAAGUGUUUGAUUUAUAUGAAAUUAGGAAAUUCUUCAUGUCCAAAAUGGGUUUGAUUUUUGUUUUAUGGAUUUGACAGAGAAGAAUAAUACCACAGCUGAAUCUACUUUAAAUGUUUAUGUGUGUGACUUUAAAAAUAUUAGAAAUGAGCCAUUUAAUGAACUAGUUCAAUGUAUACUGGAUAUUUGCUGAGAAGUUGCGUUUCCUGUUACAAGUUAAAUUGGGUUGUUCUACGGGAUAUAGACUUAUAAUCCUUCCUGGUUUAUGUCAAGAACUGUCGAAUGAAAUAUAGAAGCACAUCUGAAGACCUGCUUCAAGUCAUAAAAGCUGAUUAUUAAUUCACUAGCCUUUCAUUCCCUAUCCCCCCAAAACCAUUGCUGUGUUGUCAAUUUCCAGCCCUGAUGAAGCUGAAGCAGGGAAACAGUUGAGCUCAUCCUGUAACUGAUGUAGUUAAAAUUAGUGGAUGUGUUAGUGGCUUCAAAGAUGCAUAAUUUGCACACUAGUUAGGUGAGGCGGCUCUGGAAAGGUGUGUGACUAGAAUUAUUUUAGAAAAAGUGAACAGUAAGUCUUCUCUUAAUUAAACAAAGGGAAAAUUUUACUUUAGCCCAUGUGGUAUGGCUCCGGAACACUUCCCCACCUGACAUUUGAAAAUAGCCAAAGACCACUCAUGUGGUUUUGGAGUAAAGUGCUAUCCUGAAUCUGUUACAUUAGCUACGAAAUGGUGUGUAUGCCCUCUUUGUUGUUUUCUUCUUUUGAUUCUCCUUUGCAAAAAUUUAACAUAAUUUUAUAAUUUAAACUAGUGAAGCAAAUAUUUUAUUUGAAUUUCCCUAAUUUUUAAUUUAAUCACAUAUUAAGCUAUAUGUGCAUUGUGCGUGUAUCAUAUAUAUACAUAUACAUCUAGGGGAGAGGGUGUGGCGGGGAGGGAGAUGUGACUGGAGGUGGGGGAGGUAACUGCUGAUGGAAGUCAGAGCAAAAGAAUCUUGUUAGAAUUGUGUUAUUAUUGAGAUAAAGUUGCAGUUCGAACUGAGAUAAAGUUGCAGUUCGAUUUUUUGACAAUUAAGGUGUAAAGAUAUAUAUUAUUGGUGAUGAAUUGUUAUUUUUGUAAUAAGAAUUUCCCAUGCUUAUGUUUAAUAAUUUAAGUCAUAUUGUAAAUUAACCAUUUAACAUAUAUAUUAUAAUUUAUAACUUGGCAAGAAAAAUAUUUCUUACGAUCUAUUUGUAUGACAAAUACAUAAACACUCCCCUAGGUCCACACAACAUUAGAUGCUCUUUAUGUACCCCAGCUCCCCUGCCUCCAACCCUAUUUUGUGCAACUAAGGUUGGGGAGGGGGGUUAUUUGGUAUAAAUAUUGGAGCUUUGAAACAACCAACCAGCCAUCCCUGCACGUGAAUCGGGUGCUCCUGAAAUCUUCUGACACCCUUUGGUGGGUGAAUUUGAUACCAAUUGGUCAAUCAGUUUCUAUCUUUUUAUGUUUUAUGUUUUUAGGGUGUUUGGAUAUUUAUUUACUAUUAAAUACUUCUUAGAUUCUUAAGGUUCAUAGAAACUUCUGUUGCAUAUAUCAUGGCUUGAGGUCACAGUGAAGCCAUUAUUUAACAUUUUCUAGAGUGGCCCAAUCUUAUAUUGUUGAUCAGAUAUGGCCCAUAUGGGGACAAGAACAAUGUUCACGUUAAUUAUCUUUGAUGGUUAUGAAGUUGAUGAUUGUUGACAAAAGUGGAGCAAAUAGGAAGCUCUUUAUGCAUAUAGAAUCCAGUUUUUAGUGAUGCCACCGUGUUUCUUCUCAUAUAGUUUGUAAGCAAAGCUGCAAAAAUGAUCACCUUGUCUUUAUCUUAAAUUACGUUAGUUUUAGUAUGACUUGCGGUAUAUGAAAAUAUUGCUUGCAUCCAAGUGAGUUCUAAUUUCCUGAACUGUUGCUGUAUUCUUUGCUGAAUGUGUAAUAUAUAUACAUACAUACAUGCUUACACAUGAUUUGUAAUUGAGAUAAUGAUUGCUUUUACCUUCUCUUCUCUUGCACCUGCUUUGCUGAACUGGAGUUUGAUAGCUUUCGUUGAUUUGGUAGCUUUUCUCCUUAUUCAAUUCACUGCUCCAAAAAGAGAUGACUUUGUUGCGUGGACUUCCAGAGAUAUUUUGGUGUAUGGAGAAGAAAUUGUACUUUUGUAUAGAAGUAAUAUGAUACUUUUGUCGUCUCCGGCUUUUGUGCAGUUAAAUAUUACUGAUACAGAAAACUUUUGGCAGCGAACAGAUAAUUCUAUAUGUUUUAUGGAAUUAUUAUUUUAGUUUGGACAAUAGUUGGUUUGCAUGUACUUGGGCAGUUAAAGUAAUUUAUUUUUUGUAUACG